UACCACCACCGCAACCACCACCACAAGUGCGUGCUCCUGCUUAUUCUCACCACCACCACCACCACCACCGCCACCCAUUCUGCGUGUUGCUUCUGCUCACCCCACCAAUUCGGGCUACUUCUGCUCACCCCACCCUCGUUUGCGAAGUUCAAUUCUCUACCACUACUACCACCAGUGUGCACCUCCUCCACCUGUGACGAAAUUUUACAUCCCCUUCCUCUUAGUUCUUCCCCUAUCACAAGAAGCAAGUUCUUUCGAACGUCUGAGGCGAGAUUCUAAUCAUGUUUUAGAACCUUCAGAGAAUUUAUUCGAGGACGAGAUUUAGAUGUCAUCACUGCCAACUUGAACUAUAUAAUCAAGAUUUUUAUUGACAAAAAGUAUGCUUUGCCUUAUCGGGUGCUGGAUGCUUUGGUUGCUCAUUUCAUGAGAUUUGUAGAAGACUCAAGGGUUAUGCCAGUGAUCUGGCAUCAGACUCUUCUUGCCUUUGUUCAAAGGUUUUCACAACUCCAAGGGAGGGGCCCUUCACCAAAGAGGAGUUGGAUGAAGUUCGAGACAAGUGGGCUACUUACUUCAACGAUUUGAACUACCCUCAGUGUAAUAAUUAGAGCAGGCUUGUAGUUAUUCGUGGCUCUUACAUUAUUUUGUUAUUUAUCGAUUUAAUUAAUUACAUUUGAAUUAAUUCGGAAAUAUUAUUGAAAAUUUGAAAUUUAUAUCAUUUUUGAGGAAUGUCAAGAUGAUGUUUGGUGAAACAGUAUUCUAUAAAUUAUAA